CAGCAGCCGCGGUAAUACAGAGGGUGCAAGCGUUAAUCGGAAUUACUGGGCGUAAAGCGCGCGUAGGUGGUUUGUUAAGUUGGAUGUGAAAUCCCCGGGCUCAACCUGGGAACUGCAUCCAAAACUGGCAAGCUAGAGUAUGGUAGAGGGUGGUGGAAUUUCCUGUGUAGCGGUGAAAUGCGUAGAUAUAGGAAGGAACACCAGUGGCGAAGGCGACCACCUGGACUGAUACUGACACUGAGGUGCGAAAGCGUGGGGAGCAAACAGGAUUAGAUACCCCGGUAGUCCCUGUCUCUUAUAC
rnacentral:rRNA from 1 species